rnacentral:rRNA from 8 species
AGAUUUGCGACCUCAGAUCAGGUGGGAUUACCCGCUGAAUUUAA